AGUAGGCCUAACACAUGCAAGUCGAACGGCAGCACAGAGGAGCUUGCUCCUUGGGUGGCGAGUGGCGGACGGGUGAGGAAUACAUCGGAAUCUACUCUGUCGUGGGGGAUAACGUAGGGAAACUUACGCUAAUACCGCAUAUGACCUACGGGUGAAAGCAGGGGAUCUUCGGACCUUGCGCGAUUGAAUGAGCCGAUGUCGGAUUGGCUAGUUGGCGGGGUAAAGGCCCACCAAGGCGACGAUCCGUAGCUGGUCUGAGAGGAUGAUCAGCCACACUGGAACUGAGACACGGUCCAGACUCCUACGGGAGGCAGCAGUGGGGAAUAUUGGACAAUGGGCGCAAGCCUGAUCCAGCCAUACCGCGUGGGUGAAGAAGGCCUUCGGGUUGUAAAGCCCUUUUGUUGGGAAAGAAAUCCAGCUGGCUAAUACCCGGUUGGGAUGACGNGUACCCAAAGAAUAAGCACCGGCUAACUUCGUGCCAGCAGCCGCGGUAAUACGAAGGGUGCAAGCGUUACUCGGAAUUACUAGGGCGUAAAGCGUG
rnacentral:rRNA from 1 species